rnacentral:rRNA from 1 species
UACGUAGGGGGCUAGCGUUGUCCGGAAUCAUUGGGCGUAAAGCGCGUGUAGGCGGUCCGUUAAGUCCGCUGUGAAAGUCGGGGGCUCAACCCUCGAAAGCCGGUGGAUACUGUCGGGCUCGAGUACGGAAGAGGCGAGUGGAAUUCCUGGUGUAGCGGUGAAAUGCGCAGAUAUCAGGAGGAACACCAAUUGCGAAGGCAGCUCGCUGGGACGUUACUGACGCUGAGACGCGAAAGCGUGGGGAGCAAACAGG